rnacentral:tRNA from 8 species
CGCUACGGACUUAAAAUCCGUCGACUUUAGAA